rnacentral:rRNA from 1 species
UACGUAGGAGGCAAGCGUUAUCCGGAAUUACUGGGCGUAAAGGGCGUCUAGGUGGGAUUGCAAGCGGGGUGUGAAAGCUCCUGGCUUAACUGGGAGAGUGCGCUCCGAACUGCGGCUCUAGAGGGCAGGCGACGCUGAUGGAAUACCCGGUGGAGUGGUGAAAUGCGUAGAGAUCGGGUGGAACACCAGUGGCGGAGGCGGUCAGCGAGCCUGUGCCUGACACUGAAGCGCGAAAGCGUGGGGAGCAAACGGG